rnacentral:lncRNA from 1 species
CCCGUAAGUCCAGAAUUUCAGCAUUUUUAGGACUUAGCCAAAUUUCAGCCUUUUUCGUUUUUUCUGCGUUUUCGCUCGUUUUCGCUCAUUUGACCUCCGAUUCUUUUCAAAUCGAACCGAGACUCUCCAAACAUGUUUUUGAGCAUGUUUUCAUCAUCUUUUCAUCCACGCUAAUGCCGGAUUCAGUUCAUGGUCCAACAUAGCCUUUCGGGUUCCGUUUUCGCGCCUACGCGCACCAAAACGCUCGUAUGCUCCCGAACUUCACCGAACUUCACCGAAACUAU